AAAGCAGGGUUUGUGUGUAUCGGUGUUAUGCUUGUGUAAAAUGCGUAACGUGCCGAAAGGUAUUCCCUGCGAUAUGGAUUUGGUGAAGAUGGGCAGUUGGGUUUCACUACACCGUUGAUAUCCCAACAAUCAUUUUCCCCACAUUU